rnacentral:rRNA from 1 species
UGACGCUGGCGGCAGCCUCAUACAUGCAAGUCGAGCGAGAACGUUACUUCGGUAGCUAGUAAAGCGGCGGACGGGUGAGUAACGCGUAGGAAUCUACCUUUCAGCGGGGGAUAGCUCGGGGAAACCCGAAUUAAUACCGCAUACACCCUAAGGGGGAAAGAGGGCCUAUCCUUGGAAGCUCUCGCUGUUAGAUGAGCCUGCGUGAGAUUAGUUUGUUGGUGGGGUAAUGGCCUACCAAGACUACGAUCUCUAGCUGGUCUGAGAGGACGAUCAGCCACACUGGGACUGAGACACGGCCCAGACUCCUACGGGAGGCAGCAGUAGGGAAUAUUGGACAAUGGGGGCAACCCUGAUCCAGCUAUGCCGCGUGUGUGAAGAAGGCUCUAGGGUUGUAAAGCACUUUAGGUAAGGACGAAAAGAAUAUAGUUAAUACCUAUAUUCCGUGACUUAACUUACAGAAUAAGGACCGGCUAACUCCGUGCCAGCAGCCGCGGUAAUACGGAGGGUCCAAGCGUUAAUCGGAAUUACUGGGCGUAAAGCGCGCGUAGGCGGUUUGUCAAGUUGGAUGUGAAAUCCCUGGGCUCAACCUAGGAACUGCAUUCAAAACUUAUAGACUAGAGUACGAUAGAGGAGAGUAGAAUUCCUGGUGUAGCGGUGAAAUGCGUAGAUAUCAGGAGGAAUACCAAUGGCGAAGGCAACUCUCUGGAUCGACACUGACGCUGAGGUGCGAAAGCGUGGGUAGCAAACAGGAUUAGAUACCCUGGUAGUCCACGCCGUAAACGAUGAGAACUAGCCGUUGGAUCUUAGAUUCAGUGGUACAGCUAACGCAUUAAGUUCUCCGCCU